UAUGCUCUAUACUAAACUCUUAUUGUGAUCCCUAAUGUUCCACUCAGGGAAUCAAAUUUGUCUUGGAGAGUAACUCAGCUAUCUAUCAGAUCCUAAAUGUCACAUUCUAGCAUGGUUAGAAUCCAUGCAUGUAUGAUUUAUAAGGGAUUUAACUCGGAAUGGUGGUGGCUGAAACUGAGUCGACUUGGAUGAGUUGGCUUGGUGUCAGCAAGUGUUGAUGCCAUUGUUCUAGUUUGCAAUCUCCUUCCAUAGCUGGGGAAACAUAUAGAACUUGUUUCUGUUAUGUUACUCAGUUUCUUCUCAAUUGCCUCAGUAUUUUUUACUUGCUAAUUUGGAUAAGAUUGUCUAUUCAGUGUGCACAGAGAGUUAGUGCAAACACAUCUUCUAAGUCCCACCAUCCAACAAUUUGUGGGUGGGAAUAUUAACAUGCAUUUCAAACUUGAGUAUUGAGAAUUCAAAUUUCAAAGUGCCUAUGGAUUCCUGCCAGCUGCCAUUAAAUAGUGGGAGUUGAUGAAUUGUUUGGUCCUUCUAUAUGAUGGUUGGCUUUAAUGUAUAUUUUUUUGUUGUGGCUGUGUAAAUUUUUUAGUCCACAGAAAUCUCAUCAAGGGGCCAAAGCAUUUGGAUAUGUUUGAAGUAGAUUCACGCUUCCACUGUCGCCAUUUCUAGGACUGAUUGAUGCCUCACCUGCACUAGUACCUACAUGGUUUGAAGCUCAUAUUGGAUGAAAAUGGCUGUCGAUCAAAGUCUACGGGCAUGCUCCAUCCACACCGAGAUCCAUCAAAUCAAGUCUGGAUUACCACCUGCACUGCUUAUAGAGAAUUGACCCAAGACAGUUUUCACACCCCAAUGCACCAUGGUGCCCAUUGCUUCUGUUCUGCUCAUGGUUUGCUAGUAAUUUACUCAAGGGGCAGACAGUUGGAGUGAUCGGAGAAGAAACUCCUGCAUCAAAAACCAAUGAGAACAGAUGGAUAAGAAUGAAGUGCAGCCACAAGGUCCUUCCCAAUGCUCCAAAUACAAUGGCCACAUCAAAAGAACAGGUGGUCUUCAUCAAUUCAACUUCUGUGAUUCUCUUUUACUCAGAACUAGUCUUCUUUUUUUUUUUUCUUUUUGAAAAAUUCCCGCAACUUUUUCAUCUUGAUUUUUUACUUUUAAGCUAUAAAUGCCUUUUUCUCAUCUUUGUGGUGACUAGUCAAUGGUAAAAAAAAAAAAAAUGAAAGUCUAGUCAAAGACUCCAUGCACAGAAGCUGUUUCUUGAGGGGAUUGAAUUUGUUUGUGUUUUUUGAGUAUUGGGUCCCUUUAUUUGAUGUUUUAUAGGCCUUUGAGGGAGUGGAAUGUGGGAAAGAUUGGAUUUUUGAAGAGUUGGUUGAGACUUAGAGGUUUUCUGUUGGUGGAGGCUUUUGGCAUUGGAAGUUGGGAUUAUUUUUUUUUGUUCUGAAUCUUUGUUUUUUGGACCUUUUUUGUCUGAAGGGGUGUUUGGUUUCUGGGUUUUUGUUAGAAAAAGGGGACGUGAAGUUAGAGGUUUUUAGCUUAAAAGAUGGGG